GCUGGGCGAGGUGGUGCACGCCUGUAAUCCCAGCACCUGGGGAGGCUGAGGCAGGAGGAUCUCAAGUUUGAGGCCAGCCUCAGCAACUUAGCAAGAUCUUAUCUCAA
rnacentral:sRNA from 1 species